AUUAAUACUGCAGUACUAUUUUGAUAAUAGAUGUUAUUAUGUAAUAAGGUGUAUUUGUAAUACCAGAGUCAUAGCCAUUAAUGGCUUAAAUUUAGUAUAGGGUGCAUUUGGGUACUAUUACACUGUAAGCUUUUGAAAGUAUUCGCCACUAUUAUCAGAUUAUUACCUAACUAUUACCAUGGUGUUAUGGUAUGGUGUGGUGUCAACAGAAUUAUCAACCUAUCCAUUCAUAUUCAUCUUCUUUGCAAGCUUUAAUCCUGUUUUUCACCUCACAAAUUUACAGCUUGACCAUUUAUUUACUGAUAAACACUACUUCACCUAAGAGACUUGAGUAUCCAGUUCUUCGUUGACCUUCAGCAUUCAGUUGUUUGUCUUCACCUUUUCAGGUUUCCUGUGUCCAGCAUCUUCAAGACAGACUAAGCUAACUUUUCAUAUUUUUUGCACAUUUAUAUUUAGGUUAGGUUAGGAGUAGGUUAGGUUUAUAGUUUGUAUAGUUUAGCUUUUUAUGCUGGUCUAGGGACAGUUAAGUUAGCAAAUUCAUUUAGUUCAGAUCACUUACAGUUGCAUAUUAUUGUUACAAUUGUGUUAUUUUGUGAGUUAUUGUUGUACAGGCUAUUGUAUAUUGCAGGACCAAGUGAGACGAGGAAGACCACUGCUUCCAAGAUGCCGCUCAGAAAGUGCGUUGGACAAGUCUCGACCUUGCAGAUCCUGCCCCACUUAGCCCAACCACUUCCAACCAUGGGAUACCUCAAAGACCUCCGUCAACCAGCCGGCUGUGGAUGAUGGAUAACGCACCCACAACUCCUUCUCCAGUCUACAAGGUAUGGGUUUGUUUUUUUCCCCAUCACAGUGGACACAGACAUGGCCUGAUAAUACAAUCUGCUGUCUUAACUACUUCCUUUGAAUAAUAAAAUAUUAAUUCACAAUUGAGUAUUUAUAAUGUAUGAAUAAAUUUGGUAUCGUGUGUCAUCAGGUUCUGAAAAUACAGACACCCCCACAGUCCAAGAACAGCUGGAUGACCUCUGGACCCACUUGCCCCCGUUCACAAGAUGAGAAGAUAGGCUUUUUAAAAAAUUCUUCAAUUGUUAAUUCUGCACAAAGUGAUACACAAAACAUUGUAUGUAUUCCAUUUCAACAAACACAAACAUGAAAUGUAUAUUUAAAUACAUGACUUAAUGCAAAUCAAUCAUACUAAACAUCAUCUUUUUUUUUUUUAAACC